rnacentral:piRNA from 1 species
UGCUAAAUAAAUAUGAAAUCGCUACCAAUC